GUGUCAGCAGCCGCGGUAACACGUAGGCACCAAGCGUUGUCCGGAUUUAUUGGGCGUAAAGAGCUCGUAGGCGGUUCAGUAAGUCAGGUGUGAAAUCUUUGGGCUUAACCCAAAGCGUGCACUUGAUACUGCUGUGACUUGAGUUCGGUAGGGGAGUGGGGAAUUCCUAGUGUAGCGGUGAAAUGCGCAGAUAUUAGGAGGAACACCGGUGGCGAAGGCGCCACUCUGGGCCGAAACUGACGCUGAGGAGCGAAAGCGUGGGUAGCAAACAGGAUUAGAUACCCGCGUAGUCC
rnacentral:rRNA from 1 species